UUUCCCAUUGCUUCUGGAAUUUCUCUUCCCCUCCGUUCCGCUCUGAGAGGUGUCCACGUGUCCAGGGCUGAGCUGCGCAGCGGUGGUGGGAGGUGCCCCGCGGAGGACGUGCUGCAGGGUUCCAGGGAGCUAAUGAGUCAUUUGAACAAGUAAAUGUGGAGAAGGCAAUGGAGGCCAGGCGAGAGCAGUGGCCAGAAGAGAGUGAAGAACAGCAAUAACCUUGAGGAACGCUGGAUCGGUAAGGGAAGAACUCCUCAAGUGAGCAUGCGCACAACCUCAGUGACCACGCCCUGCGCGCGGCCCCGCCCAGGUGUGGCAGGCCACCGUGCGCGCGCUCAGCCCACCCCAAGGGAGGAAUCAGGGGACCAGGGAAGCAACAAGGACCCAAGUCAGCGGUUACGCCCGGCACCAGCAUCUCUCCAGCUGCCUGCUGGGCCCUCUUCCAAGCAUGCUUUAUUUCCUUUUGUUCCUACUCCAAAACUUUUUAAUAAACUUUUACUCCUGCUCUAAAACUUGCCUCGAGCACGCUCGAUCUCUCUGUCUCUGCCUGAUGCCCCCCAGUUGAACUCUUUCUUCUAGGGAAACCGAGGAAGCAAAACUGAGAUUGCUGCGGACCCAGCGGUUGCCGUUGGGUCUGACGCGCUGUGGCUGUGACUUGGUUACGUUCACUAGCGGUGAGCCCCUCGAUGCCUGGCCUUCCUUGGCUGGAGGUGUUCAACCCCCGACAUGCAGUUUUCUUCUCCCUCUUGCCCCCCUGCUCACUAACCAACCUCGGAACGAUUCCUCUCCGCCGCAGUGGCUCUGCUCCCAGGCUGAUCUCCCCGCCUACCCCGACAGGACACACAACAACGGGAAGCACAAACCACAGAUUCCUACCAGAAGGAAAAGACUUGUCUAAUUCAAAGAUUAUAAAGGUAAAGAGGUAUUUAUGUUAAGGAAGGUUAUAAAGAAAAGAAUUGUUAUAUGAGAAAGGAUCUUUUUCUUAUACAACAUUUGUCGCCCAAGCUGGAGUAUAGUGGCACAAUCUCGGCUCACUGCAACCUCCACCUCCCAGGUUUGAGUGAUUCUCCUGCCUCAGCCUCCCGAGUAGCUGGAACUACAGGUGCACACCACCACACCCAGCUAAUUUUUUGUAUUUUAGUAGAGACAGGGUUUCACCUUGUUGCCCAGGCUUGUCUCAAACUCCUGACUCAAGCAAUCUGCCCACCUCGGCCUCCCAAAGUGCUAGGAUUACAGGCAUGAGCCACUGUGCCUGGUCGAGAAAGGAUCUUUGGUCGUAAAUUUCUGUCCUAAAGAAAAAGAACUAACUGUUUAAAAAGAGGGAUGCUUCGGACAAGUGAGAAGUCCAAGCUUUUCAUAGACGGUCUGUUUAAGUCAUGAAAAGAUUUGUGGAAGGGAAUUUAUAAAAGAAAUAUUAUAUAAUUUUAUUUUCUUUAUUUUUUAUUAUUUUUUAAAUGUUUGAGUACAUAGUAGGCAUAUGUAUGUAUGGUGUUCAUGUAUGGAGAUAUUUUGAUACAAGCAUGCAAUGGGUAAUAACCACAUCAGGAGGCCGGGCGCGGUGGCUCAAGCCUGUAAUCCCAGCACUUUGGGAGGCCGAGGCGGGUGGAUCACGAGGUCAAGAGAUCGAGACCAUCCUGAUCAACAUGGUAAAACCCCGUCUCUACUAAAAAUACAAAAAUUAGCUGGGCAUGGUGGCGCGUGCCUGUAAUCCCAGGUACUCAGGAGGCUGAGGCAGGAGAAUUGCCUGAACCCAGGAGGCGGAGGUUGCGGUGAGCGGAGACUGCGCCAUUGCACUCCAGCCUGGGUAACAAGAGCGAAACUCUGUCUCAAAAAAUAAUAGUAAUAAUAAUCACAUCAGGAUAAAUGGGGUAUCUAUCACUUCAAGCAUUCAUCCUUUCUUUGUGUUACAAAGAAUCUAAUUAUAGUCAUGAUUAUGUUUAAAUGUACAAUAAAUUAUUGUUUAUUAUUGCUGUGGUCACCCUGCUGUGCUGUCAAAUACUAGAUCUUAUGCGUUGUAUCUAACUAGAGUGUCAUACCCACUUCCACUCCUCCCCUGCCCUUCCCAGACUUGUAACCGUCAUUUUAACACGAAUGUGAAUUACAAUGUUCUAAGGUGACUUUAGAAAUGUUUUGCUUCUCAGUAAUUUUGUGACGUGAACAAACAUUACCAAAAACAAAAGCUUCUGUCUUUUCUAGUAAAAUAUCCUAUGGUAGAAUUUCAAAUAUCAUGUUGGAUUAUUUUCAUGUUUAUUUGGAUGAAAAUAAGGUAUGGGAAGUAAGUGUGAUUAUCUCAUUUUUAGGCUGUUUGUAAACUUUCUUUAGAAGUUCAGAACUACUUCUAAUCUGAUAAAGAUAAUAAUGUUAUGUACCUUCACAGAGAACAAGCAUGGAUUUUAACCUGUUAAAUUGAAAUUCAUACUAUUGAAUAAAUGAAUAAAUUAGUAAAUAAAUAGAUAAAUAAGUAAAUAAAUGGAGGAAGGAGUGAAAGUUCUUUCUUACAGUAGAAAGCCAAGUAAUAAAUGAAGAAGGAAUGAUGAAAAUAGCAAACCACAAUAUGACACUAUUAUGCCUAUGAUUUAUUCAGAUAGGGAUCAUCUAUAAAUGUUAAGGCUGAUGGGUGGAAGUUGUUAGGAUCAGGAUUUUAGCACAAUUUUAGAAAAUCUCCCCACAAAAUGUUUAUAAAUUGCAAAGGUGAAAAUGGUGACUCAGCGAAGGAGAAAUAUGGAAGACCCCAGCAUGACCAGGCAAUCCAGAUGAACAUCACCAGAGACGGGACAGGACCCAUCAUGUGCUGUCAUGUGCAGAGCCCAGGAUCCUGACCAUCAUCUUCCUCUCAAGAGCUCAUGGCAAGGUCUGGCCAAAAUGAAAUAUCAGAUGGAAGCAGGUGGCUCACACCUGUAAUCCCAGCACUUUGGGAGGCCGAGGUGGGCAGAUCACUUGAGCCCAGGAGUUUGAGACCAGCCUGAGCAACAUGAAACCCUGUCUCUGCAAAAGAUACAAAAAUUAGCGUGGUGUGGUGGCACACGCCUGUAGUCGCAGAUACUUGGGAGGCUGAAGUAGAAGGAUCACCUGAGCCUGAGGAGGUCAAGGCUGAAGUGAGCCACGAUCACACCACUGCACUCCAGCCUCGGUGACGGAGUGAGAUCCUGUCUCAAAAUAAAAACAAAAACAAAAAACUGAAGGAUGUGGAAGACAGGGAAAGACUAAGAAAUUAUUCCAUGUUGAAGGACAUCUCCUUCCAUCUGGACAUGUGACAGGUGAAAGCAGUGCGUGCUCCUGGACUGGAUCCUGGACCUGAAGGGGAAGAGAGACGUGGUGAGCUGAGCCAGUAAAAUUUAAAUGGGGUCUGUGGAUUGGGUCCCAGUGUUGUGCCCAUGUUUAUUUCUGCCUUGGAGGGUUUGUAUUAGUUUCUAGCACUGCCAUAAUAAUUUACCACAAACUGCAUGGCUUUAAACAACAGAAAUGUAUUCUCUUGAAGUUCUGGGGGCUAGAAGCCCAAAACCAACAUGUCAGUAAGCUUGGUUCCUUCCAGAGACUGUGAUGGAGAAACUGUCUCGUGCCUCUCUCCUCGCUUCUGAUGGUUGCUGGCAAUCCUUGGGGUGCCUUGGUUUGUGGCAGCGGAACCACAGUCUCUGCGUCGGUCUUCACAUGGCUACUUGUGUGUGUCUCUGUCUCUCCUUGUCCUCACCUUUUCUUAUGAUGACACCAGUCUAUUGGAUUUAGGGUCCACCCCAAUCCUUGGAUGGAGUCAAUCGGAGAUCCUUCAUUACAUGUGUAAUGACCCUAUUUCAAAAGAAGGUCACAUUUUGAAGUUUUAGGAGGACAUGAAUUUGGGGGGAAGACUAUUCAAUCCAUUAAAAGGUUAUAUCUAAAAAUGUAUUCUGGAGUGUUUAAAGGUGAUAGACAUUAUGAUUGCAGCUUGCUCUAAAUGGUUCAGAAAAUGAUAAUAGGGGAUUCGAGAGUUCUUUGUAUACUGUUGAAAGACAAAAUUACAACACAUUUAAAGAUUUUAACUGACUUUUAUGUGCGAUUCUAAAAUCAGGCUACCCCUCAUUCUGUAUAAUAGAAUGGCUGCUCCAGUAAGCAGAUGACAUGGUUUGGCUGUGUCCCCACCCAAAUCUCAUCUUGAAUUGUAGCUCCCAUAAUUCCCAUGUGUUGUAGGAGGGACCCAUUGGGAGGUAAUUGAAUCCCGGGGGCAGGUUUUUCCUGUGCUGUUCUUGUGAUCGUGAAUGAGUCUCAUGAGAUCUGACGGUUUUAUAAAGGGCCGGUCCCCUGCACGCACUGUCCUGCCUGCCACCAGUUUUGUUCCUCCUUUACUUUCUGCCAUGAUGGUGAGGCAUCCUCAGCCAUGUGGAAC